UACGUAGGGUGCGAGCGUUGUCCGGAAUUAUUGGGCGUAAAAGGGCUCGUAGGCGGUCUGUCACGUCAGGAGUGAAAACUCGGGGACUCGAACCCCGCCGCUUGCAUUCGAUACGGGCAGGCUCGAGUUCGGUAGGGGAGACGUGGAAUUCCUGGUGUAGCGGUGAAAAUGCGCAGAUAUCAGGAGGAACACCGGUGGCGAAGGCGGGUCUCUGGGCCGAUACUGACGCUGAGGAGCGAAAGCGUGGGGAGCGAACAGGAUUAGACUAC
rnacentral:rRNA from 1 species